AUUGAACGCUGGCGGCAUGCCUUACACAUGCAAGUCGAACGGUAACAGGUCUUCGGAUGCUGACGAGUGGCGAACGGGUGAGUAAUACAUCGGAACGUGCCUAGUAGUGGGGGAUAACUACUCGAAAGAGUGGCUAAUACCGCAUGAGAUCUACGGAUGAAAGCGGGGGAUCGCAAGACCUUGUGCUACUAGAGCGGCCGAUGGCAGAUUAGGUAGUUGGUGGGAUAAAAGCUUACCAAGCCGACGAUCUGUAGCUGGUCUGGGAGGACGAUCAGCCACACGGGGACUGAGACACGGCCCAGACUCCUACGGGAGGCAGCAGUGGGGAAUUUUGGACAAUGGGCGCAAGCCUGAUCCAGCAAUGCCGCGUGCAGGAUGAAGGCCUUCGGGUUGUAAACUGCUUUUGUACGGAACGAAAAGCCCUGGGUUAAUACCCUGGGGUCAUGACGGUACCGUAAGAAUAAGCACCGGCUAACUACGUGCCGGCCGCCGCCGUAA
rnacentral:rRNA from 1 species